rnacentral:rRNA from 1 species
GACGAACGCUGGCGGCGUGCUUAACACAUGCAAGUCGAACGGAAAGGCCCUGCUUUUGUGGGGUGCUCGAGUGGCGAACGGGUGCGUAACACGUGAGUAACCUGCCCUUGACUUUGGGAUAACUUCAGGAAACUGGGGCUACUACCGGAUAGGAGCUCCUGCUGCAUGGUGGGGGUUGGAACGUUGCGGCGGUUGGGGAUGGACUCGCGGGUUAUCGGCUUGUUGGUUGGGUAGUUGCUUACCCAGGGUUUGACGGAUAGCCGGCAGGUGAGGGUGACCGGCGUCAUUGGUACUGAGAUACGGCGCAGACGCCAACGGGAGACAGCAGGGGGGAAUAUUGCACAAUGGGAGGAAGCCUGAUGCAGCAACGUCGCGUGCGGGAUGACGGUUUUCGGGUUGUAAACCGCUUUCGCCUGUGACGAAGCGUGAGUGACGGUAAUGGGUAAAGAAGCACCGGCUAACUACGUG